GUCUUCAAGGUGUAAGAGGAAAGCACGUUCGGCUAGCAAUCGGAAGGUCCGGAGUUCGAAUCCCGGAGAGGACG
rnacentral:tRNA from 1 species